UUCUAUGUCAUAGUUGUAGAUGGAGAUGGAGAAGGAAGAGAGUGGAAACAGUGUUGAAGCUAAUAGCACCAAAGUGAAGAUUAACCAGCAAAGAAAGAGAGGAAGGCCAAAGAAAAGUGCUAAAGGUAAACUUGAUCUGGUCAACGAUACAGAGAAAGCAGAAGCUGAAGAAUCCAACUCCCCUGAACUAAGAGAAGUAGUUGAUGCUGCUGAUGAUGAUGAUUAUCAGGAGCCUGCUGUAAUUACAAGCAACCCACCAAUGCAUACGAAGCCCCGGAGACGGCGGCGCAAGGGGACACCAAGGCGAGCUGCAGUUUAAAUUUCUAGACCUCCUUUUCUCUCUUGAUGGUCUGAUAAUCAGAAAAGCUGAACUUUCUAUUGGGAAAAACUUCAUUUCUAGCCUAUCAAU